rnacentral:rRNA from 1 species
AGAAUCAACGCUGGCGGCGUGCCUAACACAUGCAAGUCGCACGAGAAAGGGACUUCGGUCUUGAGUAAAGUGGCGCACGGGUGAGUAACACGUGACUAAUCUACCCUCGAGUGGGGAAUAACUGAGAGAAAUCUUAGCUAAUACCGCAUAACACUUACGAGUCAAAGCAGCAAUGCGCUUGGGGAGGAGGUCGCGGCCGAUUAGCUAGUUGGCGGGGUAAUGGCCCACCAAGGCGAUGAUCGGUAUCCGGCCUGAGAGGGCGCACGGACACACUGGAACUGAAACACGGUCCAGACUCCUACGGGAGGCAGCAGUGGGGAAUUUUGCGCAAUGGGGGAAACCCUGACGCAGCAACGCCGCGUGGAGGAUGAAGUAUCUUGGUACGUAAACUCCUUUCGAUGGGAAGAUAAUGACGGUACCCAUAGAAGAAGCCCCGGCUAACUUCGUGCCAGCAGCCGC